rnacentral:rRNA from 1 species
UGAGUAACACGUAUCCAACCUGCCGUCUACUCUUGGACAGCCUUCUGAAAGGAAGAUUAAUACAAGAUGGCAUCAUGAGUCCGCAUGUUCACAUGAUUAAAGGUAUUUCCGGUAGACGAUGGGGAUGCGUUCCAUUAGAUAGUAGGCGGGGUAACGGCCCACCUAGUCUACGAUGGAUAGGGGUUCUGAGAGGAAGGUCCCCCACAUUGGAACUGAGACACGGUCCAA